AUUGAACGCUGGCGGCAUGCUUUACACAUGCGAGUCGAACGGCCGCGCGGGCUUCGGCCUGGCGGCGAGUGGCGAACGGGUGAGUAAUACAUCGGAACGUGCCCAGUAGUGGGGGAUAGCUCGGCGAAAGCCGGAUUAAUACCGCAUACGACCUGAGGGUGAAAGCGGGGGAUCUUCGGACCUCGCGCCUUUGGAGCGGCCGAUGGCAGGUUCGCUAGUUGGUGGGGUAAAGGCCUACCAAGGCGACGAUCUGUAGCUGGUCUGAGAGGAAGACCAGCCACACUGGGACUGAGACACGGCCCAGACUCCUACGGGAGGCAGCAGUGGGGAAUUUUGGCCAAUGGGCGAAAGCCUGAUCCAGCCAUGCCGCGUGUGUGAUGAAGGCCUUCGGGUUGUAAAGCACUUUUGGCGGGAACGAAAAGGACUGUGCCAAUACCACGGUUCGAUGACGGUACCCGCAGAAUAAGCACCGGCUAACUACGUG
rnacentral:rRNA from 1 species